AUGAUGAACAUCCAAAGUGAGAUAGCCCGAUUUGAGGACACUUUGCAGGAGUAUGUGGUGUUCAAGGAUUUCCUCUACCAGCUAUCUCCCAAAGAAUGGCGGGAAGAACGUGAAAGACGGCGGAUGAAAGAAAAGGAAAAUAAAUUCAAUUCUGACAAUAAAGAGGAAAAAUCAGUACAGUCAAAAGGUUCAGGAAAGGAUGUUCAAGAAUCUCAAGACAAGGGCCGACGUCGAAUAGCAAGCACAACAAAACAUUCUAGUUUUGACAUCACUAAUGUAGAACCUUCCACUUCUAGAACGCCAAGCCAAAUUUUGUCUAGAAAGGAAUCUUUCAAAUUAAGCCGAGUAUCUUCUAGGCAGACUCUAAAGUCCCAACAAAGCAGAAAGCCGAGUGUGCAGAUUGCCCCAUCAGAAGAAAAAUUUAGUUCAGAAUUAUCUGAUGAAGAAGAUGAUGAGGUCAGUAAUUCAAUGUUUUUAGCAUAUAACUGCAGCAUUGACGGAGCUCAGCAAUUAAUUGAACAUUUUUAAGCUGGAAUUCUU
rnacentral:lncRNA from 1 species